rnacentral:pre_miRNA from 10 species
AUAGCCAUUGUGUCACUUCCUCAUGCUGACAUAUUUACUAGAGGGUAAAAUUAAUAACCUUCUAGUAAGAGUGGCAGUCGAAGGGAAGGGCUCAU